UACGGAGGGAGCGAGCGUUGUCCGGAAUUACUGGGUGUAAAGGGAGCGUAGGCGGGGAUGCAAGUUGGGUGUCAAAACUACCGGCUCAACUGGUAGUCGCACUCAAAACUGCAGCUCUUGAGUGGAGUAGAGGCAGGCGGAAUUCCUAGUGUAGCGGUGAAAUGCGUAGAUAUUAGGAGGAACACCAGUGGCGAAGGCGGCCUGCUGGGCUUUUACUGACGCUGAGGCUCGAAAGUGUGGGGAGCAAACAGG
rnacentral:rRNA from 1 species